rnacentral:rRNA from 1 species
CCUACGGGAGGCAGCAGUGGGGAAUAUUGGACAAUGGGGGGAACCCUGAUCCAGCGACGCCGCGUGAGUGAAGAAGUAUUUCGGUAUGUAAAGCUCUAUCAGCAGGGAAGAAAAUGACGGUACCUGACUAAGAAGCACCGGCUAACUACGUGCCAGCAGCCGCGGUAAUACGUAGGGAGCAAGCGUUAUCCGGAUGUACUGGGCGUAAAGGGAGCGUAGACGGUGUAGCAAGUCUGAUGUGAAAGGGGGGGGCUCAACCCCGGGACUGCACUGGAAACUGUGGGGCUGGAGUGCAGGAGAGGUAAGCGGAAUGCCUAGUGUAGCGGUGAAAUGCGUAGAUAGUAGGAGGAACACCAGUGGCGAAGGCGGCUUACUGGACUGUAACUGACGUUGAGGCUCGAAAGCGUGGGGAGCAAACAGGAUUAGAUACCCGAGUAGUC